UCCCUAGUAGCUCAAUUGGUAAAGAAUCUGUCUGCAGAGCAGGAGAUCCAGGUUCAAUCCCUGGAUCAGGAA
rnacentral:tRNA from 1 species